CGCGGGGUGGAGCAGCUGGUAGCUCGUCGGGCUCAUAACCCGAAGGUCAGGGGUUCGAAUCCCUUCCCCGCUACAA
rnacentral:tRNA from 1 species